AUACGUAGGUGGCAAGCGUUAUCCGGAAUUAUUGGGCGUAAAGAGGGAGCAGGCGGCAGCAAGGGUCUGUGGUGAAAGCCUGAAGCUUAACUUCAGUAAGCCAUAGAAACCAGGCAGCUAGAGUGCAGGAGAGGAUCGUGGAAUUCCAUGCGUAGCGGUGAAAUGCGUAGAUAUAUGGAGGAACACCAGUGGCGAAGGCGACGAUCGGGCCUGCAACUGACGCUCAGUCCCGAAAGCGUGGGGAGCAAAUAGGAUUAGAUACCCUAGUAGUCCACGCCGUAAACGAUGAGUACUAAGUGUUGGAUGUCAAAGUUCAGUGCUGCAGUUAACGCAAUAAGUACUCCGCCUGAGUAGUACGUUCGCAAGAAUGAAACUCAAAGGAAUUGACGGGG
rnacentral:rRNA from 1 species